rnacentral:rRNA from 1 species
AUUGAACGCUGGCGGCAUGCCUUGCACAUGCAAGUCGAACGGCAGCGGGGGAGAAGCUUGCUUUUCCUGCCGGCGAGUGGCGAACGGGUGAGUAAUACAUCGGAACGUGCCCUGUAGGGGGGGAUAACUAGUCGAAAUAUUAGCUAAUACCGCAUACGACCUGAGGAUGAGAGUGGGGGACCGCAAGGCCCAAUGCUAUAGGAGCUGCCGAUGUCUGAUUAGCUAGUUGGUGGGGUAAAGGACUACCAAGGCGACGAUCAGUAGCUGGUCUGAGAGGACGAUCAGCCACACUGGGACUGAGACACGGCCCAGACUCCUACGGGAGGCAGCAGUGGGGAAUUUUGGACAAUGGGCGAAAGCCUGAUCCAGCAAUGCCGCGUGUGUGAAGAAGGCCUUCGGGUUGUAAAGCACUUUUGUCCGGAAAGAAAUGGCUCUGGUUAAUACCUGGGGUCGAUGACGGUACCGGAAGAAUAAGGACCGGCUAACUACGUGCCAGCCGCCGCCUAA